GACACCCCGGGAAGGCGGCUCCCGUUGGUGCCUGUUCUGACCUGUGACAGAUUGUACGUCUAGUGGAAGUCACAAUGAAGUGAUGGGACGGAGGGAGGCUAAGGCUUAGGGAACACUGCUCUCCCCUCUGAGCUCUGUAAUUUUGUUAUAAAUGGAGGUGUUAAUGACUUCUGAAAGGACCCCAAGGCCAACAGAAGAGAAGGAACAGAAGCAACGAAUUGGGGCAUCAGGAACUCAUAUCACCCAGAGAAAUGAGCGAUUUGAUGUCAGCCAAUCAGUCAACAAACGCUGAUUAACUCUGUGCCCAGGCUUGGGAUGCAAACAAAGGCAAAAACACUGUGGGAAGAAAGUCAUACCAAAGGCAGAAAUGUAAGACAAAAAGCAGGAGAGGUGUCUAAGUCUGAAAAUAAUAACCCAGGUUGAUGGACUUUCAGAGCUGACAUCUUCCCAGCCGCAAGCCAACGAAGAUGUCACGUAUCCCCGAACCCCAGCAGAUGGUAGCAGAAUAAAGUGGAGGCACCCAGCA
rnacentral:lncRNA from 1 species